rnacentral:rRNA from 1 species
UACGUAGGGCGCAAGCGUUGUCCGGAAUUAUUGGGCGUAAAGAGCUCGUAGGCGGUUUGUCGCGUCUGGUGUGAAAACUCAAGGCUCAACCUUGAGCUUGCAUCGGGUACGGGCAGACUAGAGUGUGGUAGGGGAGACUGGAAUUCCUGGUGUAGCGGUGGAAUGCGCAGAUAUCAGGAGGAACACCGAUGGCGAAGGCAGGUCUCUGGGCCACUACUGACGCUGAGGAGCGAAAGCAUGGGUAGCGAACAGGAUUA